rnacentral:rRNA from 1 species
AGAGUUGAUCCUUGGCUCAGAGCGAACGUUGGCGGCGUGGAUUAGGCAUGCAAGUCGAACGAGAAAGCGCCCUUCGGGGCGUGAGUACAGUGGCGAACUGGUUAGUAACAGGUGGAUAACGUGCCCUUCAGCGGGGGAUAGCCUCUGGAAACAGGGAUUAAUACCGCGUACGCCCUCCCCAUCAUAAGGCGGGGAGGGGAAAGACUUCGGUCACUGAAGGAUCGGUCCGUCCCUGAUUAGCUUGUUGGUGAGGUAACGGCUCACCAAGGCGACGAUCAGUAGCUGGUCUGAGAGGAUGGUCAGCAACACUGGGACUGAGAUACGGCCCAGACUCCCACGGGAGGCAGCAGUCUAGAAGCUUCCACAAUGGACGAAAGUCUGAUGGAGCGACGCCGCGUGCGGGAUGAAGCCCUUGCGGGUGUAAACCGCUGUCAGCAGGGAAGAAUGCCCCGAUGGUGAAUCGGGGAGAGACGGUACCUGCAGAGGAAGCACCGGCUAAUUCCGUGCCAGCAGCCGCGGUAAUACGGAAGGUGCAAACGUUGCUCGGAAUUACUGGGCGUAAAGGGUGCGUAGGCGGUUUGAUAAGUCUAACGUGAAAUCCCACGGCUCAACCGUGGAACUGCGCUGGAAACUGUUGAACUUGAGGAUGGGAGAGGCAAGUGGAAUUCCUGGUGUAGCGGUGGAAUGUGUAGAGAUCAGGAAGAACACUCGUGGCGAAGGCGGCUUGCUGGCCCAUUUCUGACGCUGAGGCACGAAAGCCAGGGGGGCGAACGGGAUUAGAUACCCCGGUAGUCCUGGCCGUAAACGGUGGAUACUAGGUGUCGGGGGUAUCGACCCCCUCGGUGCCGACGCAAACGCAUUAAGUAUCCCGCCUGGGGAGUACGACCGCAAGGUUGAAACUCAAAGGAAUUGACGGGGGCCCGCACAAGCGGUGGAGGAUGUGGUUUAAUUCGACGCAACGCGCAGAACCUUACCUGGGCUUAAACCGCAGGGUAAACCCCCUGAAAGGGGGGCUGCUUCGGCAAUCCUGUAGAGGUGCUGCAUGGCCGUCGUCAGCUCGUGUCGUGAGAUGUUGGGUUAAGUCCCGCAACGAGCGCAACCCUUACUCUUAGUUACCAGCAUUUCGGAUGGGGACUCUAGGAGGACUGCCGUCGUAAGGCGGAGGAAGGUGGGGAUGACGUCAGGUCAGCAUGGCCCUUAUGUCCAGGGCUACACACGUCCUACAAUGGCGAGUACAACGGGCUGCUACCUCGCGAGAGUCAGCAAAUCCCUUAAAGCUCGUCCCAGUUCAGAUUGCAGUCUGCAACCCGACUGCAUGAAGGCGGAAUCGCUAGUAAUCGCGGAUCAGCAUGCCGCGCUGAUACGUUCCCGGGCAUUGUACACACCGCCCGUCACAUCACGAAAGUCGGCGGUACCAGAAGUCACUGAGCUAACCCGCAAGGGAGGCAGGUGCCUAAGGUAUGGCU